rnacentral:rRNA from 1 species
AAUACAUGCAAGUCGAACGCUUCUUUCCUCCCGAGUGCUUGCACUCAAUUGGAAAGAGGAGUGGCGGACGGGUGAGUAACACGUGGGUAACCUACCCAUCAGAGGGGGAUAACACUUGGAAACAGGUGCUAAUACCGCAUAACAGUUUAUGCCGCAUGGCAUAAGAGUGAAAGGCGCUUUCGGGUAUCGCUGAUGGAUGGACCCGCGGUGCAUUAGCUAGUUGGUGAGGUAACGGCUCACCAAGGCCACGAUGCAUAGCCGACCUGAGAGGAUGAUCAGUCACACUGGAACUGAGACACGGUCCAGACUCCUACGGGAGGCAGCAGAAGGG